rnacentral:rRNA from 1 species
UACAGAGGGGGCAAGCGUUAUUCGGAAUUAUUGGGCGUAAAGGGCGCGUAGGCGGCUUUGCAAGUGACGGGUGAAAUCCCUCGGCUUAACCGAGGAACUGCCUGUCAAACUGCAUGGCUUGAGACCGGGAGAGGUGAGUGGAAUUCCCAGUGUAGCGGUGAAAUGCGUAGAUAUUGGGAGGAACACCAGUGGCGAAGGCGGCUCACUGGACCGGUACUGACGCUGAUGCGCGAAAGCGUGGGGAGCAAACAGGGAUU